AACGUAGGAGACGAGCGUUAUCCGGAUUUACUGGGCGUAAAGCGUGUGCAGGCGGUUUGGCAAGUUGGAUGUGAAAUCUCUCGGCUCAACUGAGAGAGGUCGUUCAAUACUACCGAACUUGAGGUCAUCAGAGGAAAAUGGAAUUCCCGGUGUAGUGGUGAAAUGCGUAGAUAUCGGGAGGAACACCAGUGGCGAAAGCGGUUUUCUGGGAUGAUACUGACGCUCAUACACGAAAGCUAGGGGAG
rnacentral:rRNA from 1 species